UACGUAGGCAGCGAGCGUUGUUCGGAGUUACUGGGCGUAAAGGGUGUGUAGGCGGUUCUUUAAGUUUGGUGUGAAAUCUCCCGCUCAACCGGGAGGUGCGCCGAAAACUGGGGACUAGAGUGCGGGAUGGGAGAGUAGAAUUCUGGUGUAGCGGUGAAAUGCGUAGAUAUCAGGAGGAACACCGGUGGUGUAGACGGCUCUGCGACUAUACUGAGAGCACGAAAGCGUGGGUAGCAAACAGG
rnacentral:rRNA from 1 species